UACGAAGGGGGCUAGCGUUGCUCGGAAUCACUGGGCGUAAAGCGCACGUAGGCGGAUCUUUAAGUCAGGGGUGAAAUCCUGGAGCUCAACUCCAGAACUGCCCUUGAUACUGGGGAUCUUGAGUCCGGAAGAGGUGAGUGGAACUCCGAGUGUAGAGGUGAAAUUCGUAGAUAUUCGGAAGAACACCAGUGGCGAAGGCGGCUCACUGGUCCGGUACUGACGCUGAGGUGCGAAAGCGUGGGGAGCGAUCCGG
rnacentral:rRNA from 1 species